rnacentral:rRNA from 1 species
AAGCAUAUAACUAACCGAAGGAAAAGAAACUAACUAGAAUUCCCCUAGUAACGGCGAGUGAAGCGGGAAAAGAUCAUCUUGUGAAUCUGUACAGGCUUGUCCUGUGCCGAGUUGUGAUGUGAAGACGCAAAAUCAGUGAGGAUCCUGGACUAAGUCCCUUGGAAAAGGGCAGCAGAGAGGGUGAGACUCCCGUUCUUGUCUAGGAUUUUUUACUAUGGUAUUUGUUGUCAACGAGUCGAGUUGCUUGGGAUUGCAGCUCAAAGUGGGAUGUAAAUUCAUUCUAAAUCUAAAUAUUGGUGGGAGACCGAUAGUGUACAAGUACCGUGAGGGAAAGAUGCAAAGAACUUUGAAAAGAGAGUUAAAGAGUACCUGAAAUUGCUGAAAGGGAAGCAAAGGAAACCAGUGCUUUGCCUACUAUUUUUCUCUCGCUGCUUGCAGUGAGGGCGCUGUGGUAGGUUAUAGGCCAGCAUGGGUUUGGCUUGGGACAAAUGGCUUUAAGGGAGGUAGGUUCUUCGGGACUGAUACCUUUUAGUU